ACAACAAAUAGGAACAAUUAGGUUUGACUGCUUUGUAGGAAGGUUACAUGAAGAUUAUCUUAGUGAUCAGAAGAUAUUAACAUUAAUUCAGCAAUGACUUUUUAAGCAUCUCUAAAUUCCUGAAGUGUACUCCUGUAGGGUUGGGGGGUGGGAUGGGGAUGGAAAAAAACAUUAGCACUGACUUUGAGACGAUUUCAGUCUUGUCUGAAGCACUUGGGAAAUCUUGUGUUUAAGAUGGAGGAGGUAACAAGUUUGAUAAGAAAUGUACUUACUGCCUUAUGUAUGAAACCGUAACCCCUCUGUAUAUCACUUUGACAAUAAAUAAAUCAAUUUAAAAGAUGGGAGAUGAUUCAAAUCCUAUCCUUGUGGUUUGUUUUGAGCGCUUUGAUUAAUUAGACUUAUCUGAGCCCUGUCUUGGAUAUGCAAGUAACAUUUGAAAGGCAUUAUCUACCUUAUGGGUUAUAUUAAUGAUCAAAGCAUAGGACAUGUGUAAAUUACCUUAUAGAACUCGUCAAAAACAUAGUUAGGAAGAAAAGAAAUAUCCAUAGCUGCCUAGCAAUGUCCUCAAGUAGCUCUGGCAAGAUGGGAAAUGUCAAGAAGGAAGGUCCCAUGAGAAAUCUAUCUCAAAGCCCACACUCCUGUUGUUCCUCCAAGGCCAACUCCAGCCUCCUGUCACAGCACACUGACGUGUUUCUCCGAAUUGUGAGCCCAUUGCAGGCUGUCUUAGAACUCUAAGACUUUUCUGUUGGGGGAUGAGCCUGAUGACCUCAGAGAAAGGGGGAAAGCCAGAGGUGUGGCUGGAAAAGAGGCUGGAUCAAGAAAUGGUCCAGAUGUAGUUGGAGAAACGCUUCCAUUUGGGAAGGACUUAGAGACUAGAUCGUCUUGGAGAAUGUUCUAUGGAAUCUGAGCUUCACUGAUCCCCAGCCUUGCUCAAAAGAAUACAUCCAGCUGCCUCCACAACCAUGCUCAGAAAUUGCUUAACUACUGGCUGGAAAUGUCCCUCAUUUCCUGUGUCAUGGUGCGAGUCCCAUUGAGACAUAGAGCAGGAGUAACAGAAGGGCUUAAGGAUACAGAAUUAUGACUUUCAAAGUCUUUCCAUGAACAACAAAGAAACCAUAAAAACCAUCUGAACAAAUGGGGCACAAACCUCAUCAAACAACAGCCUGACAUGGUGAAACACAAACCAUUCCCUUCCACCCUUUCAGAGCCUCUUGAACAAAUUAGAAUAAGACCUGGGAAGAUGGAUGGACAGAUGGAUCCAGAUUGCUUGAUCUUUCACUGUUACUGGCUAAGAAGAACCAAAAAAGAAGGACAAUUUUCUUGUGGAAAAAAAAAUAUAUCUAUGUGCAGACAAAAAUUCCUCAUGGCUCUGGAAAAGCCAAUUCAGUUUUUAAAUUACAGUCUUUAAGAGUUGGCUUGGAAAGCAAAACAGAAAGCGAGGGGAAUGGGGAUAGGAAGAAAGGCUGGGAAAGAGACAAUACAAAACUCAACUGCUGCAAGUCGUCACUUUUUAUUUUUAUUUAAUUUCUUCCCCCUUGAAUUCACAUUGCCUCUUGAAAGUAGAUUCUUCUUGCUUUUUAAAAAAAUUUUUUCAAAUUGUCUUGAAGUAGUUGUACAAAGGGGUUUCAGUUCAACAUACCAGUUUGUGAGUACAAUACAUCUUGACCAAUGUUACCCCUUCCAUCUUUCUCCCUUCUACCUUCCAGCCUUAUUCAGAUCCUUUUUGCUUAAAACCAAAUAAACCAAUGGAGCCAGUUUGUUAGGAAUUUGGAGAGAGGCUGAAGGCUCCUGAGGCAUUUUGGCGAAAGAUUCUGCAGAAAUCAUUACCAAGACCGUGCCAAAAGCAAAGGAGAAGGUGGAAGACAUCCAAGGUAUUUGCUACCUUGGCCUAUAAUCAUUCAUUAGGGACCAACGUCUGCACGUGCUCUAUGCUCUGCCACAGAGUGGAGGUGACUGAGUAUGAACCAAGUUUCUUAUCUUUGGAUUUAGGUAAAGAUGAGCUUGAAGACUGUCAGGAAAUGCAGUCAUAUGCCAAGUGUGGUAGAGAUGGCAGUAGCUACUGGAGAUGAAGGAGGGCAGCGCGGGGGUAUAUCAGCAGGUGAGAGGCUCUCUGGAGCUCAGAGAUGAGCAAGACCUCACUGGAAAGGUGACAGUAGGCAAUGCAGGUAGGGAAAAGGCAGAAGUGAGUGGCGUGAUAUAAAUACAAGCCUAACUAACUGGGGAGAUAUGGAGGGAGAGAAGGAGAGAGGACCAAGAGAGAGGGCCUGAGGAUUGCCAGGAACUGACUGGAGUUAAGCAAAUUUGCUGAUCUUGGUUGGUGACUGCAGCAGUGGAGGUCAACAGAGGUUGGGGUAUGCAGUGGGCCUAGGUAAACAGCAAGGUGAGGCCUAUAUUCUAGGUGGUUUGCAGGAGAUGUGGGGUGCCUGGUGGGGGUAAGGAGGUGAAAGGAGGCCUUUCCGUAGGGACAGAGCAGAAAGCAGAAUUGAAAGUGACAAGCUGGAGCAAAAAGGAAAGCCAUCAAGUGCUAGAAACCAGUGGGUGCAUGUCCUCGUCCUCUGAAAGCCCUUUUUGGCUUCUAAUAAGCUGCAUGGGUGCAAUCUGUCUGGAAUACUCCCAAUCACUUUUUCUACUUAUUCAUGAGUCCACUGAAAGCCCUGUGAUCAUGGCUUUAGAAUCCCAGAUAAUGACCCUAGCUAUGUUUGCCAUUGCACUCAAGGCCUUAGGCUUUCUGGACAAGCUCUCUACCACUUGAGCUCCUAGGCCUCCGACUUUUAAUUUUGUUCUCUAGAUAGUUUCAUGCUUAACUUGUCAAGGUUACUCUCCAAAUCUAGGUCCUCCUGCUUCUGCCUCCCAGAGAGUCUAGGAGUAUGCCACCUUUCCCAGCCUGUCUUUGACUUAUUAUUAUUUCUCCCCAAUCUUUUAUUAUAGCUCCAGGGACAGAACAGAUGCACAGAAGUUUCAGCAAACAGAAUGAGUUCCCUCUCUCUUAUAGAGUGAUCACUGGCUUUUUCUGUAGCUCCAAGUGGAAAACUUCAUGGUAUUUUAACAGAGGAGUUUUCCUGUGACUUUGUUGGCCUGAGGAGGAAUGCAGAGUUUCACAAGUGGGUAGAUACUCUCACCAGCCCAACCAACCAUACAAUUACCCAUGGGUGACCAAGGAGGUGACAGAAACAGAGACCCCUUCCCCCCUUGCAGUCAGUCUAUAUGUGCCACAAUCACCCUGUGGAAGUUAAUAGAGCAAUAAACAGCAAAUGACUCGGUGGUCACCUGUGACUUCAGCCAAGUAGCAUAAUAAUGAAGAGACAGAACAACAAGGACCACAACCUGUCCUCCACUGGCCUUUGUGUUCCUCACUGUUUUCAUGAAAAAUUCUAUCACUGAGACCCAACUCCAGGAAGGACAGCCUGAACCCAUUUUCUGCGGAGUUUAACAAAAUGCUAGGAUUCAUAAGGCCUUGGCCUUAGUGUGAGACUAAAGUGAGAAUCAGUAUUUUUGGAGCAAUUCCCAAAAAGCUGGGCUGUCUUGCAGCUGAAAUGAGAAGUCCAAGUAAGCAGUCAGCACAAGCCUGGCUUAGUGCUGGGCUCAGUGCAAGUGAACGAUCAGUAUUAGGAGAUGCACCAUUAGCAAGAAGCUGACACUUGCUGCCAAUCUGCCAAACGUACAUCAUUUUUCCUCUUCCCUGUGUCCUCUUUAUGCUGCUCUGUUUCUGGUCUUCCACUCAUUGCCUAAUUUAAUCAACAAUUAAUUAAUG